CUGGCUUUUCUCUAGGUUUCUUACUGAAUCGCUGUGCUUGGCCUCACACUAACUUUGAUGAUCUGUUUUAACCUUUGGGCUCCUCAUUCUCUGGCUUCUUUAACUGUAUCUAGUUUGUCCUCACUCUGCAAGAUGUGUGCUAGGGCUGAGCCCUACCAUGACAAGGUCUUGCCAGGUCGCAUUCUUCGGGUUCACAAUGUGAUCAAAUAUCCUGCAGUAGUGCUUUUCUUUUUAUUUUUUAAACUUCUGAUUUGUUUGUAUUUUACACCCCUUCACCCAUUUUUAAAAAGAUGGGAUCUCUGUAGUCCAGGGUGACCUAGAACUGAAAGAUCCGCCUGCUCUGUCUCCUGAAUGCUGUAAUUAAAGGAGUGAAUCACCAUAUAGCCCGUGUUUGAUUUUUAAAGUGAGGCAAGAAAGGAGGCCUGGAGGUGGAGGUCUUUAAGCAAAGAGCUGCCAACAAUUCAACAAAGAGUAUGAGAAAUGGAGGCGAAUUCCAGUGUCUACUGACUGGAUGAUAAGAUUUAACCUCCACACCACAAGACCAGGGGUAGACUGCUGCUGGGUGAAGGUGAGACCAUAGACUUGAUCAUUGAGCAGCCAUUGAUUUCUUCAAAACACCUGAUGCUUGAGGAAGGUGGGUGCCUCCAAGCUCCUUCUCCCUUUCUUACCUUCCUGCCCGGAUUAUAGAUUCCAUGCAGUUUC